AGCGAGAUCAUUCUCGGAAAAAUAAAAUUCUGCAUUCAUGCGAACACCAUUCACAUAUGUCUAGUUAGGAGCAUUUGUUUCAUUUUGAUCAUGUCAUCCUAAUCAUUAGGCAUAAUUAGGUUUAUUAUACAGGUCUUAUCUCCCUGAGAUUACAGUGGAACAGACCAAAGAAUUUCAGAUCCUAUCUCCCUGAGAUUACAGUGGAGCGGAUUAAAAUAAAGGAUCUUAUCUCUCUGAAGUUACAGCAGAGUAGAUCGCAUCAGGUCUUAUCACCCUGAGGUUACAGGGGAGUAGACCGAAGAAUUUCAGAUCUUAUCUCCCUGAGGUUACAGUGGAGCAGAUUGAAGCCAGAGAUCUUAUCUCUCUGAGAUUACAGCGGAGUAGAUUGAAGCUAGUAAUCCUAUCUCUCUGAAGUUACAGUGGAGCAGAUUAAAAUAAAGGAUCUUAUCUCUCUGAAGUUACAGCAGAGUAGAUCGCAUCAGGUCUUAUCACCCUGAGGUUACAGGGGAGUAGACCGAAGAAUUUCAGAUCUUAUCUCCCUGAGGUUACAGUGGAGCAGAUUGAAGCCAGAGAUCUUAUCUCUCUGAGAUUACAGCGGAGUAGAUUGAAGCUAGUAAUCCUAUCUCUCUGAAGUUACAGUGGAGCGGAUUAAAAUAAAGGAUCUUAUCUCUCUGAAGUUACAGUAGAGUAGAUCACAUCAGAUUGAAGCCAGAGAUCCUAUCUCCCUGAG
rnacentral:lncRNA from 1 species